rnacentral:rRNA from 1 species
UACGGAGGGGGCUAGCGUUGUUCGGAAUUACUGGGCGUAAAGCGCACGUAGGCGGACCAUCAAGUUGGGGGUGAAAUCCCGGGGCUCAACCCCGGAACUGCCUCCAAAACUGCUGGUCUGGAGGUCGAGAGAGGUGAGUGGAAUUCCGAGUGUAGAGGUGAAAUUCGUAGAUAUUCGGAGGAACACCAGUGGCGAAGGCGGCUCACUGGCGUCGAUACUGACGCUGAGGUGCGAAAGCGUGGGGAGCAAACAGGA